rnacentral:tRNA from 1 species
UACCCUAUGGUGUAAUUGGCAACACAUCUGAUUUUGGUUCAGACAUUCUAGGUUCAAGUCCUAGUAGGGUAGC